UACGUAGGCAGCGGGCGUUGUUCGGAAUUACUGGGCGUAAAGAGUGUGUAGGCGGUGCUCUAAGUUCGGUGUGAAAUCUCCUGGCUCAACUGGGAGGGUGCGCCGGAAACUGGAGUGCUUGAGCGUGGGAGAGGAAAGCGGAAUUCCUGGUGUAGCGGUGAAAUGCGUAGAUAUCAGGAGGAACACCUGUGGUGUAGACGGCUUUCUGGACCAUAGCUGACGCUGAGACACGAAAGCGUGGGUAGCAAACAGG
rnacentral:rRNA from 1 species